rnacentral:lncRNA from 1 species
AAAUAAUUUUUAUAGCGUAAAAGCUAAAAAAAUUCAUACAUACUGUAAUAUAGAUAACCAAAGUAUAAAAUUUAAUUUACAGUGACACGUGGGCCCACGAACGACCAAAAGUAUCAAAAGCGGUAAACCUACAAUUUUUGAGGAUGCAAGUCCAACUGUAGCCCUCAACAAAGUGAGCUAUCUACCGACUAUCUUGAGCCUGAAAUGGGUGGAAAGGAUGAUGGUUAGAUUAUAUAAUCCCAAUGAGUAAACAAAUAUCAUCUAAAAUAUCUAAAAUUGAGUAAAUGGAAAUAGAUAAAAUAAAUUAGCAUAAAAAUGAUUCAUAGCAUUUUGAGCUCGUUUUAAUAAGAUAAAAUAGAUUCAUUUCACCCAAAUAAACAAUGAGGCUUAUGAUUUUCUGAAAAGUUUGGCUCGUGCCAAAAUCAUUAUCAUACUCAGUUAUCAGGGAAACCUUGGCUGAGGGUUAUCCCAACCGAGUCCGCCAAGGCUGUUAAAAGUCAUGUACGCAUAAAUCAUGUUUUUAUUUUGAAAAUAUAGUCGUUCAUUAGCGUUGGCUGAGUUCACCCUCACGUGGUGGUUUGGCGUGAAGUGAACUCUAAAGUGUUAACCUCAUGAGUAAUCCAUCCGCACCUCUCAUAC